rfam:Brochothrix thermosphacta DSM 20171 = FSL F6-1036 c3, whole genome shotgun sequence.
AAAUAUCCGAUGAUUAAGAAAAGUAGAUAAGAAAGUUUAGUUUAAGAGAGUAAAACCCGUGGCUGUAAGGUUUUGCACUAAACACUUUUUGAAAGACACUUAGGAGGAUUUCGCUCGAACGGUAUCAAGUAGAGUGAAACGUGAUCAGGCGUUAACUGAGAGUGGAAAACCAUCGCUGGUUUUCAAUUAGGGUGGUACCACGGGUGAAAACGCUCGUCCCUUGU